UACAGAGGUCUCAAGCGUUGUUCGGAUUCAUUGGGGCGUAAAGGGUGCGUAGGCGGCGCGGUAAGUCGGGUGUGAAAUCUUGGAGCUUAACUCCGAAACUGCAUUCGAUACUGCCGUGCUUGAGGACUGGAGAGGAGACUGGAAUUUACGGUGUAGCGGUGAAAUGCGUAGAUAUCUGGAGGAACACCGGUGGCGAAGGCGGCAUCCUGGACCAACACUGACGCUGAUGAGCGAAAGCCAGGGGAGCCAAACGGG
rnacentral:rRNA from 1 species